rnacentral:rRNA from 1 species
AGCGAACGCUGGCGGCAGGCUUAACACAUGCAAGUCGAACGCCCCGCAAGGGGAGUGGCAGACGGGUGAGUAACACGUGGGAACGUACCCUUUGGUUCGGAAUAACUUGGGGAAACUCAAGCUAAUUCCGGAUAAGCCCUUAUGGGGAAAGGUUUACUGCCGAAGGAUCGGCCCGCGUCUGAUUAGCUAGUUGGUGAGGUAAUGGCUCACCAAGGCGACGAUCAGUAGCUGGUCUGAGAGGAUGAUCAGCCACACUGGGACUGAGACACGGCCCAGACUCCUACGGGAGGCAGCAGUGGGGAAUAUUGGACAAUGGGGGCAACCCUGAUCCAGCCAUGCCGCGUGAGUGAUGAAGGCCUUAGGGUUGUAAAGCUCUUUUACCCGGGACGAUAAUGACUGUACCGGGAGAAUAAGCCCCGGCUAACUUCGUGCCAGCCGCCGCUGUAA